UAUAAUUGCGCAUGUUAUUUUUCCCCACAAAGGUCAUCGAGACGAAGUUAAUCACUUCGAUCUCUUUAUUUUGGACUCUCUCUUAGUCGGGCGUAAACUUGAUUUUCCCACUAUUGCACUUGGUCUUAUGAAACUUGUGCAUGCAUCAUGACACACUAAAGCUUUACCUUACGGGAUGCUUCUCACAAAAAUCUUUAAACACUUUAACGUUUCAUUGGAUGGUGAAGAUUUUAUAAAAUUA
rnacentral:lncRNA from 1 species